CUACGGGGGGCAGCAGUGAGGAAUUUUGCGCAAUGGGGGAAACCCUGACGCAGCAACGCCGCGUGAGUGAUGAAGGCCUUCGGGUCGUAAAGCUCUGUCAAGUGGGAAGAACCUACCUAUGGGUAAUAUUCAUGGGUACUGACGGUACCACUGAAGGAAGCACCGGCUAACUCCGUGCCAGCAGCCGCGGUAAUACGGGGGGUGCAAGCGUUAUUCGGAAUUAUUGGGCGUAAAGGGCGCGUAGUCGGUCUUGUUAGUCAGAUGUGAAAGCCCGGGGCUCAACCCCGGAAGUGCAUUUGAUACUGCAAGACUUGAGUAUGGGAGAGGGAAGUGGAAUUCCUGGUGUAGAGGUGAAAUUCGUAGAUAUCAGGAGGAACAUCUGUGGCGAAGGCGACUUCCUGGACCAAUACUGACGCUGAAGCGCGAAGGCGUGGGUAGCAAACAGGAUUAGAUACCCCGGUAGUC
rnacentral:rRNA from 1 species